rnacentral:rRNA from 1 species
AUUGAACGCUGGCGGUAUGCUUAACACAUGCAAGUCGAACGAUGAGAAAGAGCUUGCUCUUUCGAUUAGUGGCGGAUGGGUGCGUAACGCGUAGGAAUCUACCUAUUAGUGGGGGACAACUUAGGAAACUUAAGCUAAUACCGCAUACGCCCUACGGGGGAAAGAAGGGGAUCGCAAGACCUUUUGCUAAUAGAUGAGCCUGCGUAGGAUUAGCUAGUUGGUGGGGUAAAAGCUCACCAAGGCGACGAUCCUUAACUGGUUUGAGAGAAUGAUCAGUCACACUGGAACUGAGACACGGUCCAGACUCCUACGGGAGGCAGCAGUGGGGAAGAUUGGACAAUGGGCGAAAGCCUGUUCCAGCAAUACCGCGUGUGUGAAGAAGGCCUUAGGGUUGUAAAGCACUUUCAAUUGGAAGGAAAACCUCGAAGCUAAUACCUUCGAGUUUGACAUUACCUUUAGAAGAAGCACCGGCUAACUCCGUGCCAGCCGCCGCCGUAAUAC